rnacentral:lncRNA from 1 species
CAGCAAUUCAAUAACAUUUCGGCUUGUAUGUCAGUUUACGCCUACUUCCUUUGAUGAAAACAAUUGCAAAGACUAAAGAGUAGUUGAAAAUAAAAAUCAGGAUUUUAGAGCUGCCCUUUCUCCCUCUAGUCUAUGAAAAAUGGUAUGACUCCCUGUUCAUUGUAUGUUGGAGGCUGAAAUUUUUGAAGGUAAAGAGUAGCUUUCAUCUUGGUGAAGCUCUGUUUUUGCUAGGAUCAUCUCUUUAUGGUGGACUAAACAUUUGGAUCCUUUUUAAUGAGGGAAAUGGGAAGAUUUAGUAAAAAAGGUGGAGCUUCAAAAGCUGUGGGGUUGCCCUUAACUGGAAUGUUCUUUACUUCUCCCAGUGUUAACCUAACCUCUAAACACUUCUUGGAACAUCAGCGCUUUCUGUUUCAGAGGAGGCUUGUGGAAUGCCUUCAAAUCAACCCAGGUUCCUCUCCAGUAGGAUAACAGGAGGUGAAGAAGCUGUGCCCUACUCGUGGCCUUGGCAGGCCAGUGUGCAAACUGCAGAUGAGCACAUCUGGAGUGUGGAGGAGCAGCCCUUGCCCAAGGAUGGGCUGUCCCAGCUGCCCACUGCCUUCGCUCCAGGGAAGUAUACAGAGACUUAUGGACGGUGGUAACAGGACUUCAGGAUCUUACAGAGGAAGAAUACACAAAGAGCUCCCUGUUUUCAUUGUGUGACUGUCAAAAGAACUGUUCUGAUGGAUCCCAUUGGAAAACAUUCCCAAAGCACAAAUGUCAUUGAAAACAAAAUUUGGUGGGCGCAUGCAGGUUUCUGACUGAUGAACAGAUUCCAGAGUAGCUGAUACUUACCCUGGGGAAUUUACUGCUGAUUUACCUGAACUUUGGCUUUUCAUGUGUGUUGGAGCAGUCACAAGUUACCUGCAGGCUUCUAACACUCUGUUCAUCCAUCUUAGAAAGGAAAAGAGGGAAAAUAAACCACAUGAGCCAAGCA